CCUCCAUUCCACCCAACAACCAAGAAGAGCAAGGCGUCAGCCAUGAGCAAGGACUGCGGCAACCACGGCGACGACGACCUCCGGCGCUCGUGCCGGCGCCUCCUGGCCAUCCUCCUGUUCCUGGCCUUCCUCGUCGCCAUCAUCGCGCUCAUCGUCUACCUGGUGCUCCGCCCCACGCACCCGCGCUUCUUCCUGCAGGACGCGUCCCUCCGGCAGCUCGACCUCUCCAACGGCUCCUCCAACGUCCUCUCCACCACGCUCCAGGUGACCGUCGCCUCCCGCAACCCCAACGACCGCGUCGGCGUCUACUACGACCGCCUCGACGUCUACGCCUCCUACAAGUACCAGCAGAUCACCGUCGCCGCAUCGCUCCCGCCAGUCUACCAGGGCCACGGCGACGUCGACGUCUGGUCCCCGGUCCUCGCGGGGCCCAGCGUCCCCUUCGCGCCCUACCUCGCCGACGCGCUCAGCCAGGACUGCCAGGCGGGGUACCUCAUCCUCCAGGUCAAGAUCGACGGCCGCGUCAGGUGGAAGGUCGGCAGCUGGAUCUCGGGACACUACCAC
rnacentral:lncRNA from 1 species